rnacentral:rRNA from 1 species
UACGGAGGGUGCGAGCGUUGUCCGGAAUCACUGGGCGUAAAGGGCGCGUAGGCGGCCUGGCAAGUCGGUGGUGAAAGCUCGGGGCUUAACUCCGAGUCGGCCAUCGAUACUGCGAGGCUCGAGUCGACUAGAGGCAGAUGGAAUUCCGGGGUGUAGCGGUGGAAUGCGUAGAGAUCCGGAAGAACACCGGGUGGCGAAGGCGGGUCUGCUGGGGUCGAACUGACGCUGAGGCGCGACAGCGUGGGGAGUCAAACAGG